GAUACUACCUGCCUUCUCUGCCAAACCCUCUGGCCCUAACCUAUCAUGUAUGAAAGGUGAAAUAGGAGCAUACUCUGAUUUCACAGUUUUAACCAUCAUCCUGUGACCCCAAAAGUCCAUCACAGGAGGGCAUAUGCACAAAGACAUUAAAUGUAAAAGAAAUGGCCUGUGCUGAGCAACAGAGAAAGCUGUAUCAGAGAUAAAACCAAACAGUAAGCUUCCUAUGACACAGCUCCAGUGGAAGAAGAGAAAGCACCACCUCAUUACUGCAAGGUGGAAACAGAAGUCCAAGAGAGAUUCUUUGUUACCACUUGACAUGGAUGGGAAUCUAGGUACUCCCUGAUGGAGAGAAGGAGGACUGCCUCAUUAUGCUCACCAUGUAACCUACAAUAGCACCAUGGAAGGGGGAUGUGGACGUCUGUUAUCACUGGGUGGUUGUGAAAGCCCUGACUCUAUUGGCUUCUUUGGACAUAAUGCCAGUGGGGAGGGGGAAGAAUGCCUCAUUAAUGCCAUCUGUGGGUAGAAAUCCAGGCUACCCACUUUGCUUUUUGAUAGUGUGGUGGGGGAUGGGGCCACAUAUUUUUUUCUGCGAUAUUUAGCAGAAAUACAAAGCAGUUAUUGCCAAC
ensembl:lncRNA DIAPH3-AS1 DIAPH3 antisense RNA 1